rnacentral:snRNA from 1 species
UGGCCUGUAAUUUACCCUAGUAUU